AACUGAAACAUCUAAGUACCCCGAGGAAAAGAAAUCAACCGAGAUUCCCCCAGUAGCGGCGAGCGAACGGGGAGCAGCCCAGAGCCUGAAUCAGUGUGUGUGUUAGUGGAAGCGUCUGGAAAGGCGCGCGAUACAGGGUGACAGCCCCGUACACAAAAAUGCACAUGCUGUGAGCUCGAUGAGUAGGGCGGGACACGUGGUAUCCUGUCUGAAUAUGGGGGGACCAUCCUCCAAGGCUAAAUACUCCUGACUGACCGAUAGUGAACCAGUACCGUGAGGGAAAGGCGAAAAGAACCCCGGCGAGGGGAGUGAAAAAGAACCUGAAACCGUGUACGUACAAGCAGUGGGAGCACGCUUAGGCGUGUGACUGCGUACCUUUUGUAUAAUGGGUCAGCGACUUAUAUUCUGUAGCAAGGUUAACCGAAUAGGGGAGCCGAAGGGAAACCGAGUCUUAACUGGGCGUUAAGUUGCAGGGUAUAGACCCGAAACCCGGUGAUCUAGCCAUGGGCAGGUUGAAGGUUGGGUAACACUAACUGGAGGACCGAACCGACUAAUGUUGAAAAAUUAGCGGAUGACUUGUGGCUGGGGGUGAAAGGCCAAUCAAACCGGGAGAUAGCUGGUUCUCCCCGAAAGCUAUUUAGGUAGCGCCUCGUGAAUUCAUCUCCGGGGGUAGAGCACUGUUUCGGCAAGGGGGUCAUCCCGACUUACCAACCCGAUGCAAACUACGAAUACCGGAGAAUGUUAUCACGGGAGACACACGGCGGGUGCUAACGUCCGUCGUGAAGAGGGAAACAACCCAGACCGCCAGCUAAGGUCCCAAAGUCAUGGUUAAGUGGGAAACGAUGUGGGAAGGCCCAGACAGCCAGGAUGUUGGCUUAGAAGCAGCCAUCAUUUAAAGAAAGCGUAAUAGCUCACUGGUCGAGUCGGCCUGCGCGGAAGAUGUAACGGGGCUAAACCAUGCACCGAAGCUGCGGCAGCGACGCUGAUGCGUUGUUGGGUAGGGGAGCGUUCUGUAAGCCUGCGAAGGUGUGCUGUGAGGCAUGCUGGAGGUAUCAGAAGUGCGAAUGCUGACAUAAGUAACGAUAAAGCGGGUGAAAAGCCCGCUCGCCGGAAGACCAAGGGUUCCUGUCCAACGUUAAUCGGGGCAGGGUGAGUCGACCCCUAAGGCGAGGCCGAAAGGCGUAGUCGAUGGGAAACAGGUUAAUAUUCCUGUACUUGGUGUUACUGCGAAGGGGGGACGGAGAAGGCUAUGUUGGCCGGGCGACGGUUGUCCCGGUUUAAGCGUGUAGGCUGGUUUUCCAGGCAAAUCCGGAAAAUCAAGGCUGAGGCGUGAUGACGAGGCACUACGGUGCUGAAGCAACAAAUGCCCUGCUUCCAGGAAAAGCCUCUAAGCAUCAGGUAACAUCAAAUCGUACCCCAAACCGACACAGGUGGUCAGGUAGAGAAUACCAAGGCGCUUGAGAGAACUCGGGUGAAGGAACUAGGCAAAAUGGUGCCGUAACUUCGGGAGAAGGCACGCUGAUAUGUAGGUGAAGUCCCUCGCGGAUGGAGCUGAAAUCAGUCGAAGAUACCAGCUGGCUGCAACUGUUUAUUAAAAACACAGCACUGUGCAAACACGAAAGUGGACGUAUACGGUGUGACGCCUGCCCGGUGCCGGAAGGUUAAUUGAUGGGGUUAGCGCAAGCGAAGCUCUUGAUCGAAGCCCCGGUAAACGGCGGCCGUAACUAUAACGGUCCUAAGGUAGCGAAAUUCCUUGUCGGGUAAGUUCCGACCUGCACGAAUGGCGUAAUGAUGGCCAGGCUGUCUCCACCCGAGACUCAGUGAAAUUGAACUCGCUGUGAAGAUGCAGUGUACCCGCGGCAAGACGGAAAGACCCCGUGAACCUUUACUAUAGCUUGACACUGAACAUUGAGCCUUGAUGUGUAGGAUAGGUGGGAGGCUUUGAAGUGUGGACGCCAGUCUGCAUGGAGCCGACCUUGAAAUACCACCCUUUAAUGUUUGAUGUUCUAACGUGGACCCGUAAUCCGGGUUGCGGGUACAGUGUCUGGUGGGUAGUUUGACUGGGGCGGUCUCCUCCUAAAGAGUAACGGAGGAGCACGAAGGUUGGCUAAUCCUGGUCGGACAUCAGGAGGUUAGUGCAAUGGCAUAAGCCAGCUUGACUGCGAGCGUGACGGCGCGAGCAGGUGCGAAAGCAGGUCAUAGUGAUCCGGUGGUUCUGAAUGGAAGGGCCAUCGCUCAACGGAUAAAAGGUACUCCGGGGAUAACAGGCUGAUACCGCCCAAGAGUUCAUAUCGACGGCGGUGUUUGGCACCUCGAUGUCGGCUCAUCACAUCCUGGGGCUGAAGUAGGUCCCAAGGGUAUGGCUGUUCGCCAUUUAAAGUGGUACGCGAGCUGGGUUUAGAACGUCGUGAGACAGUUCGGUCCCUAUCUGCCGUGGGCGCUGGAGAACUGAGGGGGGCUGCUCCUAGUACGAGAGGACCGGAGUGGACGCAUCACUGGUGUUCGGGUUGUCAUGCCAAUGGCACUGCCCGGUAGCUAAAUGCGGAAGAGAUAAGUGCUGAAAGCAUCUAAGCACGAAACUUGCCCCGAGAUGAGUUCUCCCUGACUCCUUGAGAGUCCUGAAGGAACGUUGAAGACGACGACGUUGAUAGGCCGGGUGUGUAAGCGCAGCGAUGCGUUGAGCUAACCGGUACUAAUGAACCGUGAGGCUUAACCUU
rnacentral:rRNA from 1 species